CUACGGGGUGCACCAGUGGGGAAUUUUGGACAAUGGGCGCAAGCCUGAUCCAGCCAUUCCGCGUGAGUGAAGAAGGCCUUCGGGUUGUAAAGCUCUUUCGCAAGGGAAGAAAACUUACUUUCUAAUAAAGAGUGAGGUUGACGGUACCUUGAUAAGAAGCACCGGCUAACUACGUGCCAGCAGCCGCGGUAAUACGUAGGGUGCGAGCGUUAAUCGGAAUUACUGGGCGGAAAGCGUGCGCAGGCGGUUUUGUAAGUCAGAUGUGAAAUCCCCGAGCUCAACUUGGGAACUGCGUUUGAAACUACAAGACUAGAAUAUGUCAGAGGGGGGUAGAAUUCCACGUGUAGCAGUGAAAUGCGUAGAGAUGUGGAGGAAUACCAAUGGCGAAGGCAGCCCCCUGGGAUAAUAUUGACGCUCAUGCACGAAAGCGUGGGGAGCAAACAGGAUUAGAUACCCCCGUAGUC
rnacentral:rRNA from 1 species